rnacentral:misc_RNA from 1 species
GAAUGAUCAGAUAGAGCUAAUACAGAAUCUUUGCCAUCAUUUCGGCAAUCAAACCAAUAGGGAAACAUAUCAUAAUCAUCAUCUCAUUCUCAUCACACAUUUUCAUUUUACAAAAAAAAAUGGUAACAAUAAUAAAUAAAGAAUACCAGCAAAAGUUAAUUAACCAGUUACGCAAAAUUGAUAAUUAGACGUUGAUAGUAAGCCAGUUGCCGGCCUAGAGCAGAUGAACAACGGCGUAAUUUAUUGGCGAGAGUGACAACUUACAAA